AAAUGUAGCUUAGUUGGUUGAGUACUUGCCUAGCAGGCAGGAGGCCCUGAGUUCCAUUCCCAGUAUUU
rnacentral:tRNA from 1 species